AAUAGAUACCCAGGUAGUCCACGCCGUAAACGAUGAGUGCUAAGUGUUAGAGGGUUUCCGCCCUUUAGUGCUGCAGCUAACGCAUUAAGCACUCCGCCUGGGGAGUACGGCCGCAAGGCUGAAACUCAAAGGAAUUGACGGGGGCCCGCACAAGCGGUGGAGCAUGUGGUUUAAUUCGAAGCAACGCGAAGAACCUUACCAGGUCUUGACAUCCUCUGCCAACCCUAGAGAUAGGGCGUUCCCCUUCGGGGGACAGAGUGACAGGUGGUGCAUGGUUGUCGUCAGCUCGUGUCGUGAGAUGUUGGGUUAAGUCCCGCAACGAGCGCAACCCUUGAUCUUAGUUGCCAGCAUUCAGUUGGGCACUCUAAGGUGACUGCCGGUGACAAACCGGAGGAAGGUGGGGAUGACGUCAAAUCAUCAUGCCCCUUAUGACCUGGGCUACACACGUGCUACAAUGGAUGGUACAAAGAGUUGCGAACCCGCGAGGGUAAGCCAAUCUCAUAAAAGCCAUUCUCAGUUCGGAUUGUAGG
rnacentral:rRNA from 1 species